rnacentral:rRNA from 1 species
GAUGAACGCUGGCGGCGUGCCUAAUACAUGCAAGUCGAGCGAAUGGAUUAAGAGCUUGCUCUUAUGAAGUUAGCGGCGGACGGGUGAGUAACACGUGGGUAACCUGCCCAUAAGACUGGGAUAACUCCGGGAAACCGGGGCUAAUACCGGAUAACAUUUUGAACCGCAUGGUUCGAAAUUGAAAGGCGGCUUCGGCUGUCACUUAUGGAUGGACCCGCGUCGCAUUAGCUAGUUGGUGAGGUAACGGCUCACCAAGGCAACGAUGCGUAGCUGACCUGGGAGGGGGACCGGCCACACGGGGACUGAGACACGGCCCAGACCCCUACGGGAGGCAGCAGUAGGGAAUCUUCCGCAAUGGACGAAGGUCUGACGGAGCAACGCCGCGUGAGUGAUGAAGGCUUUCGGGUCGUAAAACUCUGUUGUUAGGGAAGAACAAGUGCUAGUUGAAUAAGCUGGCACCUUGACGGUACCUAACCAGAAAGCCACGGCUAACUACGUGCCAGCAGCCGCCGUAA